rnacentral:lncRNA from 1 species
GGUGGGGCCGUUCCUGGAGGCGCUUUGCGUCGGCGGAUCGGGCGAAGUAGCGCUCGACGACGUCGAGGAAGCGGUCGUUGUCCGCCGCGGAGCAGCGCGGGUCCAUCACCAGCAACGCCCCUGUAUCCCGCAGGCUAGCGCUCACCGUGGCGCACAGCGCGCGCAGCUCCUCCUCACCCGCCGGGGCCGCGUCGCCGGCGGCGGCCCGAAGAUACGGCGCGAGAUCCACCACCGGAAGGUCCAUGGGAGCUGGCGCUGGGGCUGGGGCUGGGCUGGGGCUGGGGCUGGGGCUGCGCGGCGCGGGAGAUGCGAGUUGAAAUGAAAGGGGGAUCGGGGGCAAAAGAAGACUGGAAGUGGAAUGAGACAGAGUUGCAGAUGGCGGUGGGAUGAUGCGUGAAGGUAUCGAGAGGUAGAGUUGGGGCCGGAACAGCAAACCGCGUGCGCACGGAAACCCGCGUGUGCCUCUGAACGUCUGAUCGUCAGAUCGGCAGAUCCCAGGCGUGGGAUUCCGGCGGCCUCGCCGGAUCAGAAUUCAGAUCAACGCUGCUGCUUCCAUAGGCUCGUGUCACAUCGGAAUACUCCCAAAAAAUAAAAUCAACAUGCUCCGGCCGGGCCUCUGAACACGAUUUGUCCUGUUGAGAAGACUCGCGGUGUCCUUAAUUGGCGAAUUUCCCCGUUUUUCUCAUUCCAAUUCAACUGUGCCCGUUGGUCAACACUAGCUUCUCUGUCACGUCUCACGUUCUCAUUAAUUAGACAAUUGGAGCUACCUUCUCAGUAUCAUAGGGUGUUGCUAACUGAAUCCAGUUUCCUGAAUAUAGCGUUCAUGAAUCUCAACACAAUAUUCAUUUUUUUGGGCCAACGGCUUCGUGGCAUCACUGGUGAAGAAGACUUCAAAAUGGAUGUGCAUCAUCUCCUGUCCAUCCAAAAUGAAGUAUUGGAACUAGCUUGCGCUGCCACUCAAUGGCGUAUGACGCAUAUAGAUAGAUUCACCGCCAAUCAUAGCCACUCGUCUUGACAACCCAAGCCUAUACUAUUUUUAGCUUCAGUUCCACAAAUGGCGCCAUAAGUAGAGUUGAAGCCGUUUUGGUAAAGCAUGUGAUAAAAAUGGCUUCAUCGCCUACAUAUCAUGCAUGGCUUAGAGAGGUCAAUUCUCCAAGAUAUCCUUGUAUACACACAUUUAUAGCAACAUUUUCAACUGGAAGUUUCUAAAUGUUUUCUCAUCCAAGUAAUUUUGAAUUUUAAAACUAAAAAAAUAAAAUUUUAAAAUAAAAAUAAAAAACAGGAGGGAAGAGAAACGGGCCUAAUCGUUUGCAGCUGUACGUUGCUCUUCUUCACGCAAACGAAGGGAACGAGAAUUCUUAGUGGCACAUCAUAUAAGUUCAGCAAAGCCCGAGGAUAGUGUCUCAUGAGCCUAGAGAAGGAGCCAGGUGAAGUCACUUUUUUUCUUCUCUCACCUCCAAAGCUUUGUGAAUGCAUAUUUUUAGAGGCUUCACCAAAGAAUCCAUUUUAUUUUACCCAAUUUAACAGAAAAUGGCUCUAAAUGACUCCUAAAACCGGCAGAGAACCUCUACCAAGCAGGGUCUUAAUGUAAAUAUUGCAUAGUAUACAAAAAUACUUCUAAAUUAGUGCUAAUGACAGGAUAAUGUAGGGGUUCACAACAAUUAUAUUGGUGGUCCCUACAUUAUUAUGUGAUUCUUAUCUAGGUCCUCAAACUAUGAAAUUGCAUAUCUAGGUCCCUAAAUUAUUUAAGUAACCCUUAUGUGAGCCCCAAGAAAUGUAUUAUCCAUACCAUGUGGUACACUAUACAAUUGUGCACUUCAUGGUGGGAAAGAGUGUGUUGAGUUGGCUUAGUGACUCAUUAUAAACAAAGUACUAUAUACGAUUGCAUUCAUUUUCUUUCAAAAUCUAAACUAGCUAAUUGUAGAUGCAUUUCAACUUUCUUAUCUCGUUAGGCAUGUCUCGUUAAACUCGGUUUAAGUAGCUCUGAGACAUUAGGACAACAUUCGAAUUCACAAAGUCACCACAAGCAUCGCUAUAGAUAGACAUAUCAGGGGUAUACUGUUUCUAAGGCUCACAUAUGCUAAAACCAUUAGCUUAUUUAGUAUCAAGUUGUUGGAUAAGUACCAUAUAUGUGGAGAUGCAUAUAUAGUGAAAUAAGGUGAAAGGCCUGUGGGCAUCUGAAUAAUGGGGAUCCAAGAGGGGAUGGGUGAGUUGGGUGUCAUUUAGAAACUUAAGCCUGGACUCUACUUGAAGUUCUUUCAGAAGAUCAUGCCUAGCUCUCCCACUAUGAUGAGUUGGUGCUCAUCAAGUUAUCCACUGCUUGACAUAGUGAGGAAUAGUUGUUGUUUCUUCUCCAUUUCAACUUGUAUCUUGGUCAAACUUGGUCCAUACAUAUAUAUAGGAAUAUGUCUAACAUAUCUUAACACAUAUUAAUCUUCUUGAUUAAUUGGGAUAUCAUCUGAAUCACCAAAACUACUCAUAACCAUGCACAUGGGCACAUGAUGCUUACAAAAGCGCCUAGCCUCAUUGAAGUUGCCUGGUUUGCCACAUUGUGGCAUGUUGCUUACCAUCAAAAGAAUAGAUCAUGAAUGGCUUUCUAAUUUCACUUGGCUUGUUAAGCUUGUCUUGAAGGACCUCUCGACUCUCGAGAGACUGGGUAGCAUAUAUUCAUAUUGACAAAGUCACCGCACAUGUCUUGUUGUAUAUUGAUGGAUAGGUUAGGGGUGGACCAACCCUUGCCCUAGCUCACCAUAUGCUAAAGUCAUAAGCAAUGCAUUAUACACACAGAUGCAAAGUGAAAGCGUCAGUCUUGCUCCAUUCCUGAACUCACGGGCGGGCGGCAGGUCAACCACGAGACGAGACCUCCCGUUGCUCCAGCUCCAGGAUGAAGUGGCUGAAACUGAAGUUGUGCUGGCCGGUACGGUGCGCCAAUCAAUCUUCCCGUCGGCCACUACGGACGGAUGAGGUCAACGCGACGGCGCUCUUGUUGUGUGAUGGAUGGACGCAGCACGGCAGCAGCUAUAAUAAAGCCUGAACCGGCUGGUGCCUGCUGGUGUGGUCGUGUGUGCUUUUUGCUAGUGUAGUAGGUUAGGAUUUGGUCACUGUACACUAUAUACGGUAUAGAGGCUACUAGCUCGCGCGCAUAUGAUUGGGAGCCACUCAGAUCGAUCAGACGCAUGUACACACAUCACCAUCAAUAUAAGAGUGAUCGAUGCGUUUCUCUGCUAUGAUCAUAUCAUCAACAUCAUUCAGGUUCACUACUAGCUGUAUUUAUCGACCGAUCGAGGCACGAGUUAGAGAUAUAUAUUGCAGAUCGAAUAUAUGCAUGGAUGCGUACCCGUGUACCGUAUACCAUGGUCAGAUCGAUCGACUGCUCGUGCUGCAAUGCAUGCAUGCAUGCAUGUGCUGCUCGUCCGGAUCGCAUCCAUCUCUAUCUCUCAACACCAACAAAAUAUGCCGCCGAAAAGAAUGUGAUCGAUCGAUGUGCGUGUGUGUGCUUAAGCAUGAAGUGUCACGGGUGUUGCAUCGUUUUCCGUCGUCGUUCAAAGAUCGAAUACGGUUCUCCGGCCCUGAAAGCCAGCGGCCAGCCUAGAGACUAACUGGCCAAGGACGACGACGUAUAGCUAGUACACAUGCACAAAACACAAAAGUCCCCCCACGGAACAAAUGCAUGCAAGCACAAGACGCAAGCAAGCGUACGUACGUCCGCGGUCGUGAUCAGUGCGAGAUUACACGUAUCAUUUGCGCUUUUGUUUUCCUGAUUCCCUGGAUCGAUCAGCACGUACGCCCACACACCACCACUCGAUCAACAUAGUAAGUAUACUAUACCUUUCAUUGAGAACAUGUGUAUAUGUAUUGUACUUGCACAGUUGCGCUAUCAAUCAUCACCGGAAAAAAGUCUCCAUUGCAUUGUAGUACCAAAAAAGAAUCCACCAACUGAGGAGUAACGGAAUUGAUGACUGUAUUAGGCAUGAGCAUUAACUCUGAUCUCUGCAAGAUGGAUCAACAUCCAUCGCCUACCUCGACUUGUUGAAUAUAUAUAUAUAUAUAUAUAUAUAUAUAUAUAUAUAUAUAUAUAUAUAUAUAUAUAUGCACUCCUUCGUUCCAAAAAGAAUGAAAAUUUUGAUUCCCUAGCAGUCAAACAAUCUUGAAUUUAGUUAGAUUUAUAGAAAAUACUAGUAAGUAUUCGUGUCUUCAAAUAUAUAUAUUUAUUACAAAAUAUAUUUCAUAACUAAACUAACAAUAUUUAGCGGUUAUUUGACACGACUCACAACAGUUGUUUUUUUUAUCAAAUAUCUAUUUCUAAAAUAAUUUUAUAGGUAAAGUUGUUUUUUCUUGUUCUAGAUAAGUUUUAUUAUAAAGAAACUAACCAACUGAGCUACUCUUAGGCUUUAGUAGUUCGUAGAUGACUCUUGUUCGGUAUGGGCAGCACAGCACCGCGCGCAUGGAGGAGAAAAGAUCGAUGGUGGAGCUAGCAGGUACGGGUGGAAAAGGAGAUUUACUACCAGAGGCCAAACGCGUUGACACAUGGGCGACCAAAGGAGACCGGCCGGCCACUGAGAAGAUAGACGAGCCAUUCGCAGUCGAUAGAGCUCCAUGCUCCAUUGGAUGUGACAGUGCAUGCAUGCGUCCACCAAUGGCCGCCGAAUGGAGAAUCUCUCCUUUACUGUUCGUUUCCAGUGCAAAAUCAUAUCGAUCGGCUUCUUUUUCGGGGGGAAGCGGCGAGUGGUAGGCGUAGGAGACGCGAGAGGACGGCCUUUGACGUGCCUUUGCAAAUUUUAUUCCCUCGGUCUCGGCUGGCCAGCUUUGUGGCUCCUCCCUUCCCUUUAUUUCUCAGAUCAUGGACAUGUUGUUCCUUGGUCCUCGCGACACCCCCAUCGGAGGCAUCUAUAACCUAGCUAGCUAAGCAUAUCGUAAAGCUAGCUCCCUCGUUUUGAAAGAAGGGGACAACUCUUAGACUACUAUCAUUGCCGAUCGGUGUGCUGAAUUUGUUCCCUCUGCUGCAGUGCGUAUAUGUACGUGCGCGAUUCCUUUGCGAAAAUUCUCGUUGCCCACAUCGUUUUGAAAUAUCUCUAUUCAUCCUUGCUUUUGGAGAGGAGAGUACGUCUCAAUUUGGUUCUGUGCUGCUGGAAAGGAGUAGCUAACUACAAGCCUGUUCGUUUAAGCUUAUCUACCGAAUCUGCUAAUCAUUUAGCAAUGUUUUUUCUCACAAUAUAUCAUAGAAAACUACUUUUAGCCAUGACUUUUUUAUAAAAAAGCAUGUGCUUUCUCUCUCUCUCUCUUGUUUUUUUCCUUUCUUUGUGUUGUGUGUGUUUUGGCUAGCAUCUUGCUACCCAAGUUGUACUUACUUCGUGUUAAUGAGAAGAUCCAUGGGGUCUUUUGCCUCGUAAUUUUCGGUAAUAUAAAAACUGUAACACCCUAAAAUUUAAAACUCUUGAAAUAGGUGAAAAAUGAUUUAAUUUUGUAUUUUUGUGCUCAUAAAUAAAACAUAGAGAAAUAAUAUUUUUCAUUUGAAUAAAAUUUAUCAUAGGAUUUAGCAACUUGUUUGUGCAUUCAUUUUGGAGCAUUUAUUUUCAUUGUAUUGUGUGAAUUUUAUCCAAGUUCAAAAUCAUUUCAAACUGAUUUGAAAAUGGUUUUCAAAUUGUCUUGAAAUAGGUUUUGGGAAUAAAAGAAAAGAAAACAAACAAAACAAAAGAAAAAGGAAAAACCUUUCCCCCUCUGCUUUGUGGGCCGAAGGCUAGUCCCUCCCUCCUCUCUCACUCGCUCACGGGCCACGAGCAGGACGGCCCAAGCCAGACCCGCGUCCUUCCCCUUUCUUCCCCUCGGCUCAUGGACCAGCACGCCCUCACGCCACGGCCCAGUACCGGAUCAACCGGCCCAAGCGCUCGCAGCAGGCAGCCUGCGCGCUAUCCCUUUCUCUCUUUUGGAUGACAAGUGGGUCCCGUGCCUUGAGACGCUGACAGGAGGACCCCACAGGUCAGCCGCAUCAUCUUCUCCAUUCUGCCCAAAUCCCGAUUUCCCCAGGAUUGUUGUCACAUGUGUGCGAUCGACCCCCUUUAAAAGCCUUGCGAUCUUCGCUGUGCCCUUCUUUGGCGUCUCGCUCAACCAAGGAGUUCUUUUUGCCCUGCCCUACCACCGUUUGGAUCUCGCCGAUCCGCAAGCUACCGCCGCCACCGUGGUGCUCGAGACCCGCAGCCGUGCCAGCGUUUCCGAGCAGUGGCCGAGCCUCACCAGUUGACAACGAAGCGGUCGAGCCCCUUCACUUACCCUCCCUCGACCCCAGUAGCCCGUGCGACCCCGCCGAACGUCGCAGGGGGCUCUCAUCCGCCACGUCGCACCGUACACCGCCGUCGUCCAAUCUCAGGCGUUGAAAAGUCCCUAGGUGAGAUCCCCUUGAGCUCCUCUUGCUUCCCAUGCAAUCGGUUUUUCAAAUCGUGCUCAGAAUCGCAAUCGCUUUAACCGUGAACUCCGGCGAGGAGUGCCUCACUCCGGCAAUGGCGCCACCGCGCUGGCCACUGUAGCCAGCCGGCCGCCGUUCUUCUCUUUCCCUGGAACUGUUUUCCACCGUUCGUUUCUGAUCUAAUGGCUCAGAUCGGUCGAUACCGGUUCGGCUGCAACUUUUGCUUAAGAGACCCCCUAGAAGUUAGGAAUCCAACCCGCAGUCCCUCGACGCACUCGGAGAAAUACGUUUUUCAACUCCAAAAGUGUAUUCUUCGUCGGUUUGGUUGAAAUACGCUUUCUGAUAAUUACAAGAUUGCCACUGAGUUUCUUUUGGCCAUAAAAUAUUCAUUUAAACUCCGUUUUUGUCCAUUCAAAUUUCGUUAGGUUCGUAUUUACGAGCUCUACAUGUUAGAAGUAUUAGUUCACUGUUUUGAAACUUUUUAUUUUCGCAGUAACAUUUAAUUAUUUAUUUAUCUAUAGGAAAUCUUGGAAAAUUCAUAACUUCUACGUUUUAAUUCCGAUUUUCGUGAUCUUUACGUCUGUGAGAUCGUAUCGAUGCGUAGAAUCAUUUUAUAAACUUUUCAUACUGUUUUAUAUGAUUGGUGUACUGUUCUAAUUGUAGCCUUGUUUGCUUCGUGUAUGUUUGUCUCCGAUUGUUUGUGUGUUGAUGAUCGAUGAUCGAGUUUAGACGGAGAGCAGUUUUUGGUGAUCAAGAUGAGAGCCUUAGACAACUAGUAAGACCAGCAGGAUCAACAAGAGCAUUUGGAUUAAGGCAAGUAUAGCAUUUGGGUUUUAUUUCUGUGACCAUGAUCUUGUGAGUUGAUUAAUGUUAAGUAAUAAACGAUAAAAAUGACUUUUUAGCCACUUGAUGAUUUAUCUGUAAGUAAUAACCGGGAUAAUAGUGCAACCAUGAGGGCUAUAAUGGCUCUGGCUUUAGCUCAGUAUGAGGACCUUUUUCUAGCUUGUUAGUGGUUACCUUAAAUGGCGUAAGAAUGGCUAGACAUGUUGGGUAUAGUGCGGCCUCUGUCCGUGUGUAUAGGCUGUGGGUUAUGUGUCAUGGAAGGGGGCCUCUAUAUCUGUCUGCCGAGUGAAUCUAAUGGCCCUAACUUGUUAGACGAAACCUUUGAAAGGCUUCAUAGUGAUCCCUGCCGGCCUCCCUAGGAAGGGGGUUAAGAGACUCGUGACCUCGGGCGAAAGGGUAAAUCAUGACUCAUGGGUAAAGAUGUGCAACAUCUGCAGAGUGUUUAAAACUGGUAUACUAGUCGUGCUCACGGUCACGAGUAGCCUUGGGGAUUCUUGCAUUAAGGGUGAUGAAUCUUGUUGUGUUAAAAUACUCAUUAUUUAUUGUUUAAUGCUCUACAUUAUUUAUGUCACAUUGAUCAUGAGAUUGUUGGAGUUAUACAAUUUAGUUGCUAUACUUGUGGAGUUCGACAUGGACUCACUCUUGCUAUUUCCCCCACACUUUAGGAGAUGUUGUAGGCUUGUGAUCAACCAGUCAGUUGGAUCCUAUAGAGAGAAGUUAAUACCCGAAGUUUGGAGUUGUCUAUCCGCUGUUCGCUAUCAAAGGUUAUAUCUUUUAUACUAAGUAUGUUAUAUAUUUAUGCAUUGUCUUUUGAUAUUACCCCUUAUUUGUAGCUAUAUAUGAGAUUUGACUCCUAAGACUCACAUAUGGUGUAUAUCUGAUUUUGUUCUUAAAAUCAGGUAUUACAAGAAUCUUCCAUGUAAACUAUUUACACAAUAUGUAGUCUUGGUUGGAGUUGGACCAGCAAAAAAUAUUGAAGAUAAGAAAACAAGUUUCUUUUUCUUUAAUUCGUAUGGACUAUGUGUUCUAGAGAUGGUAUCAUUUUCUAGGAAUUGAAAAGUGGUUGUAGACAAAAGAAAAUAAUCUUGAGAAGUCACAGGUCAUGCAAUUUUUUGCGUGAAUGUGGGUGCGGUUCCUAGGAUUCAAACUCAAUAUUACCUCACGCAAACUUCCUCUACCAGUGGCACCACUAUGCCACAGCCACAGAGUUGCUACGAGUCUUAUACUGAAAUAUGGCCCCUAAGCAAUUUUAAAUGAAAAAAUUUCAGGUACAAAGUUUAGAUGUUGUCAAGCACUAAAAUUUUGGUGUAGGGUGUAGCUUCACCUGAAGCUGAUUGAAAAGUUCAAAAAUUCAAUUUCAAUAUUUGAAAAAAUAAACAUUGGGAGUCUAAAUGAUUUUAAAUGAAAAGAAACAAUAAGUUGUAGACAUCUUCGAGCGCUACAACUUUGAUAUAAAGUUCAUCUCUAUUAACUUCAUUUGAAAAAGUUAGAUUUUUUUUGAAUUCACCUAUUUCUAGAGGCAUAUCAAAUUACCAACUGCGGUCGAAAAUCAAUUUCUAGAGAUGAUUGGUGUUUUCUACCGCCUAGAAAUAGCAUUUCUAGAGGCAGCUUGUGUUAUCAAGUAUACCUGAAAAUGGAGGGCAUUUCUAGGGGCAGGAAACACCAACUGCCUCUAAAAAUUGGUUUCGAGAAGUCGUAACCUCUGGGACCAUGACCCGAGGCAGCUCUAAAAUAGUUUCUAUAGUAUUGAUUGUAAGAUAUGGUGCAAAAUUUGAUACCAUAGAUAUGAACAAAUAGAAAAAGUCUAGUCUACAUUUAGAUAAAAAAUUGUUUAUAUUUGUGCAAAAUUUUCUGCAUGGAAUUUUCUUCUACUAAUUGUGUAGCUAACUACCCCCCUCUUGCGCCUGGUUAACUAAAGCACAUAGCAUUUCCCAUUAGUUCUGAGCAAUUCGAUCAGGGUCGUGAGUCGUGACGCAAACGCAUUGAACAAUACGAAUAUCUGCGUACGAAAAAGUUUCCACUCCAACGAUGAUCAUUCGCGUGGAACUGCAAAGUUUGUCCUCCAUCAGCUCUCCUCCAUGUAUGUGUAAACUGUAAAGAAUAACUCCAUCCUGGAUUGGUCUUUAACUCUUUAUGCUUUGUGCAGAGGUUUAUAUUGGACUUGCAUUGUCUUCAGCUUUUUAUUGGAUUGCUAUGCAUAGUAAAUUGGUAUAGGUACCCGUACCUUUUUUCUUGUGUGGACAGAAUAUCCUUGGUAGAUUCUCUUCUGCGAGCUUAUAUGCAUGGUUUAAAUCGAUCGUAAAGAAAAAAAUCGGAGCACUGACAGAUAUGUGUAUAAUCAUUAGUAGCACACACACCACCACCGAUUGAACGGCUCUUGUGUUGGGAGAACAUAUGCGCCGUGAACAAAAUAAAAGGCAGAGGGUCUGUCAUGGUUUCAUGUUUUCGCCGGGCACUAAACUUAACAAUCAUAUGUGUAGAUGGCCGUCAUAGUGCAAUGACGCAGCCAAUGCUACCAAGAUAUAUGUCUACAGAAAUUAUAUGAAAAUUUCUUUGGUCUGCCAAAUGCUACCAAGCAGAGUAUAUGUAUGCAAAAUGGCAGUAAUGCAUUGUAUGGAGCAACAAGGCACCGCAGGUGUCAAAUUUUUCGCCUGGGGUUAGUGUCCCUGCAGGGUCGGGUACAAUGCAAAAUCGGACUUGCAGAGGAAAGGUGUAGCGGAGAACUCGAUUUGUGAUGUGUGCAAACGCGGCAGAAGAAACCCCGGCACAUAUAUUACUGUGUUUGGCUGUCCACAUGCUGCACAAUUAUUCUUGAACGCACUGCGCAGAUUCCAACAAACCCAACAGUGGCAAGUUCAGGCUCUCAAAGAAAAUUCAGUCUCCGAAUUAAUCAUAUACCAAACAAGCAUUUCGGCACCUUCUUGUCUUAUAAUUUGGGAUGAAGGAAGUAAUAAUUAGCAAACUGCAAAUGCAGAAUGUUAUAAACCUCUGGCCAUUUGAGAGCCAAAUCAAGUAAUAUAUCAGGUGGGGUAUUCUCUCCCCUCCCGUCGAAUUUUUCUCUGUUUAUAAGGAGGGUUUGUUUCUGCAAAUCUUUGAUUAGCAGUGCUCUACGAAAGCGCGUGGAUGGUUAAGAGGUGGAGACGUAGAGGAAGAAGUAUUGAUCGAGUUUUGGUACAUCUUCGUGGAGGACAAAAUCAUCAUUGAUACCUAAACCGUCAGCCCGUGCAUCGCUUGUACUAGUCUGGAUGCUGGGCAUGCAGUGGCAGAGGAACAGAACCAUGCAAUGUCCGAUUGCGCACGAUCGGUGACGCUGCAAGUCACUUCCAGUUGGUGCUAGGAGAUGUGGUCCCUAGUGUUCAAAGAGAAAUUGAGCCAUAUCAACAAAAUUAUUAUAGAAAUUGAAUAUGAAUACAAUAUAGAGACUGUUGAUCUCUAACUGCAACUACAGAACCAAAGAGAGCUCAUGCCAUACUUUAGAACCCACUAAGGAACCCAGUGAUAGCUUUUGACACAGAAAAAAGAUGAAUAAGAUUUUUUUUUAAAUGAGUACAACAGAACAAGGGAGAGAGAUUUUUCUUUUUUGAAUGAGUAGAGCAGAGAACACAAUAUUACCUCCUUCAUCAAAGAAGUAAAUGCGUCCUUGGACAGGCCAAAGCCAAUUGCAGCCAUCUCAGCAACAACCUAUGCAAACAUAACCAUACAGGUGUGGGCAUAGGCACACAGCUAUGUAUAAUACAUAAAACACUGUGAAUACUGUUCACAAAAAAGUACUAGCAUGAAUAUACCUCAAUUGCAGAAAUCAUUUUAGAACCCCAGGAAUCCAUCGUCUCUUUCCACUCAGGUAAUCCCUCAGGGAUAACAGGUUCUGAGUUUAGCUCCUAAACAAGGUUAGUUACCAGCUCAGUACAAAGCAACAAAACUAAACUAGGGGUGCAAAUGAGUGAUGAUUAGGUGCACCUCUAAACCUCUUUAGUUCAAAUAUUUAUACUACUUCUCCAAAACAAUUAAGAAGUAGUACAAAUAUUUGAACUUAAGAGGUUUCGAGGUGCACCUAAAGGUUACCCCUUUGCACCCCUAAACUAAACUACUGCCGUCAAUACUUAACGCGUUUCAUAUUUUAAAAUCCAAGAUCAUACAGAGACGUCACAUGGAAAUCACAACCUUAAAGCCGGUAUUUGCAGGGCGAGGACCCACUCUCCACAUGUACCGCCAUUUCGGGUCCGGCCCUUUAGGCGUGGCUGGCUGAAAGUCCUCUGGCAUGCUCCUGAUCUUCUAUUGCAUGUUCUUCUCGACCAAACUGCGAGGAACCUCCACCCCUUCGGGUGUGACACCAACCUUACCAAGAACAAGCAAACUGGAUGAGUAAUUCAGCACAGUGGGGUAAGUUGAGUUUUUUUUCUUUAACACGCAUUAAGCAAGACCUGAUCGUGCCUAUUUUACAAUGUGAUCAAUCACGUGCCGUGAUCUGGAUCCAACCGAGGUGGUAUUAAUCCCAGCACCGUGAAUCCAGUGUUUAGCGCCAUCCGGUUGACCAUACCCACACCCGAUCCAUCAAACCCGAUUGGCCAAUUCGACAAAACAGACAGAGAAGAAAAGGUACGGGGCGGGCAGCUGCCUACCUGGUAGUGGAGGUGGGGCCGUUCCUGGAGGCGCUUUGUGUCGGCGGAUCGGGCGAAGUAGCGCUCGACGACGUCGAGGAAGUGGUCGUUGUCCACCGCGGAGCAGCGCGGGUCCAUCACCAGCAACGCCCCCGUAUCCCGCAGGCUAGCGCUCACCGUGGCGCACAGCGCGCGCAGCUCCUCCUCACCCGCCGGGGCCGCGUCGCCGGCGGCGGCCCGAAGAUACGGCGCGAGAUCCACCACCGGAAGGUCCAUGGGGGCUGGCGCUGGGGCUGGGGCUGGGGCUGGGGCUGCGCGGCGCGGGAGAUGCGAGUUGAAAUGAAAGGGGGAUCGAGGGCAAAAGAAGACUGGAAGUGGAACGAGACAGAGUUGCAGAUGUCGGUGGGAUGAUGCGUGAAGGUACCGAGAGGUAGAGUUG